rnacentral:rRNA from 1 species
UACGAAGGGGGCUAGCGUUGCUCGGAUUGACUGGGCGUAAAGGGCGCGUAGGCGGUUUGUACAGUCAGACGUGAAAUUCCUGGGCUCAACCUGGGGGCUGCGUUUGAUACGUGCAGACUUGAGUUCGGAAGAGGUUCGUGGAAUUCCCAGUGUAGAGGUGAAAUUCGUAGAUAUUGGGAAGAACACCGGUGGCGAAGGCGGCGACCUGGUCCGAUACUGACGCUGAGGCGCGAAAGCGUGGGGAGCAAACAGG